AAGUCGUAACAAGGUUUCCGUAAGUGAACCUGCGAAAGGAUCAUUACCGAUACCUGACACUCUGUGUCGAACACGAUCGAGCGAGCGCGGCGUGGUUCACGUCGUGCGAGGGAGUACCCUUCCAGGCGCUCCAGCGCCGUUCCCCGCUUCGCCGGGAGCUCGUCCACUUGUGGAGAAAGAAUGGACCCGGUGCUUGCACAACAACCUGUGCUUGAAAAGGAACUCAAAUGCAAUACAACUGCAAAUGGUGGAUCACUCGGCUC
rnacentral:misc_RNA from 1 species